GGUGGGGUUCCCGAGCGGCCAAAGGGAGCAGACUGUAAAUCUGCCGUCAUCGACUUCGAAGGUUCGAAUCCUUCCCCCACCAC
rnacentral:tRNA from 1 species